rnacentral:snRNA from 1 species
AAAAUUAACUGGCGCCGGGUUAAGGGUGAUGAAGAAUGCGCUGACCCCGGGUUGAGUUCACCAUUGCACCUCAGUGGGUUGAAACUCACAACGGACCCUAAUCGGGUGCUCUAAGGCGUGCAGUUUUUGUCAGUGGGGAGGCCUGACGGUCCUCCCUC